GAUGAAGAACGCAGCGAAAUGCGAUAAGUAAUGUGAAUUGCAGAAUUCAGUGAAUCAUCGAAUCUUUGAACGCACAUUGCGCCCGCCAGUAUUCUGGCGGGCAUGCCUGUCCGAGCGUCAUUUCAACCCUCGAACCCCUCCGGGGGUCCGGCGUUGGGGAUCGGGAACCCCUAAGACGGGAUCCCGGCCCCGAAAUACAGUGGCGGUCUCGCCGCAGCCUCUCAUGCGCAGUAGUUUGCACAACUCGCACCGGGAGCGCGGCGCGUCCACGUCCGUAAAACACCCAACUUCUGAAAUGUUGACCUCGGAUCAGGUAGGAAUACCCGCUGAACUUAAGCAUGUCAAUAAGCGGAGGA
rnacentral:misc_RNA from 1 species